GCAAAUUUACACCGUAACUUCGGGAGAAGGUGUGCCGCUGGCGGUUAGUGACUCCGCGUCACGAAGCUGUUGGUGGUCGCAGUGAAAUGGCGGUUGUGACUGUUUACUAAAAACACAGGACUCUGCGAAGUCGUAAGACGACGUAUAGGGUCUGAUGCCUGCCCGGUGCUGGAAGGUUAAGGGGAUAUGUCAGCGCAAGCGAAGCAUUGAACCGAAGCCCCAGUAAACGGCGGCCGUAACUAUAACGGUCCUAAGGUAGCGAAAUUCCUUGUCGGGUAAGUUCCGACCUGCACGAAGGGCAUAACAACAUCCGCACUGUCUCGACCAGGGACUCAGCGAAAUUACAUUGGGGGUGAAGAUGCCCUCUACCCGCGGAAAGACGGAAAGACCCCAUGAACCUUUACUGCAACUUGGCAGUGAUUUUCGGGUUGUUCUGCGUAGGAUAGGUGGGAGGCUUUGAGGCCGGGCUUCCGGGUUCGGCAGAGCCAACGUUGAAAUACCACCCUGAAUAAUCUGGAAAUCUAACCUGCGCCCAUGAUCUGGGCGAGGGACACUGCCUGGUGGGCAGUUUGACUGGGGCGGUCGCCUCCUAAAUUGUAACGGAGGCGUGCGACGGUUCCCUCAGGCUGAUUGGAAACCAGCCGUAGAGUGCAAACGCAUAAGGGAGCUUUACUGCGAGACUGACAAGUCGACCAGUUGCGAAAGCAGGUGUUAGUGAUCCGGUGGUACCACAUGGAAGGGCCAUCGCUCAUCGGAUAAAAGGUACUCUGGGGAUAACAGGCUGAUCGCGCCUGAGAGUUCACAUCGGCGGCGCGGUUUGGCACCUCGAUGUCGGCUCAUCGCAUCCUGGGGCUGGAGCAGGUCCCAAGGGUUUGGCUUUCGCCAAUUAAAGCGGUACGCGAGCUGGGUUUAAAACGUCGUGAGACAGUUUGGUCCCUAUCUUCCGUGGGCGCAGGACACUUGAGAGGAGCUAUCCAUAGUACGAGAGGACCUGGAUGGACGAACCUCUGGUGCUCCGGUUGUCACGCCAGUGGCAUAGCCGGGUAGCCAUGUUCGGAACAGAUAACCGCUGAAGGCAUAUAAGCGGGAAGCUGGCCUCAAGACUAGGUGUCCCUGACGCAAGUCACUAAAGGCCCCUCGAAGACUACGAGGUUGAUAGGCUAGGUGUGGAAGCGCUGCGAGGCGCGGAGCUAACUAGUACUAAUAGGCCGUGCGACUUGACCCC
rnacentral:rRNA from 1 species